AUUAGGAUUAGUCACAUAUAGCCUAAAUAUGUAAGACUCCUGUACCAUGAAAGAUGCUUCCAUUGCAGAUAGCAUAUUAGGAUUAGUCACAUAUAGCCUAAAUAUGUAAGACUCCUAUGCCAUGAAAGAUGCUUCCAUUGCAGAUGCACAUUAGGAAUAGUCACAUAUUAUACAGCCUAAAUAUGUAACACUCCUAUACCAUGAAAGAUGCUGUCAUUGUAGAUAGCACAUUAGGAUGUUGCACAUAUACAGCCUAAAUAUGUUGCACUCCUAGACAGAAGAAGAUGGAUUCAUGGCACAUAGGAAGAGUCAACAUCCCAGAUAUGUUCCACUCCCACACAAUGUAGAUGGUUUCAUGGUAGAUGGCACA